rnacentral:lncRNA from 1 species
GUGUACUCCAGCGACAACAACAAAAAUAUACCACAACAGAUUGAAAGCAAAAGCAGAUAGGAGAAUCCAAAGCCAAGGAGGCUGUUUGCUCUAUUAAGCCAGAUAUUAAUGAGAUUUGCCAAAAUGUAAAGACAACACCACUCCUCUUGCCAAUUUUACUUUGUUCCAGAAAAAAAAGCUAUUUGUCAUAAAAGUAUAUUAUCUAUGUUAACCUGUAGUAGAAUUAUUUACUGUUAUUUUUUAGAUGAAUGAAUAAGUACAUGUUUAAAUUUUCUCAGGGUUUUUUUGUUUUUUUUUUUUUGGUCUCUUUGUCUUUUUUAGAGCCACACCCACGGCAUAUGGAGGUUCCCAGGCUAGGGGUCGAAUCAGAGCUACAGCUACCAGCCUACACCACAGUCACAGCAAUGUUGGAUCCGAGCCGCAUCUGCAACCUACACCACAGCUCAUGGCAAAGCCAGAUCCUCAAGCUACUGAGCCGGGCCAGGGAUCAAACUGCAACCUCAUGGUUCCUAGUUGGAUUCAUUUCCAUUGUGCCACAAUGAGAACUCCCCAAACAUCUCUGGAGAAAAAAAAGGUUAACAAUUGCUGCUCCAGCGCUUCCACAGCAGGAAAGACUAGGAAGAGACUUGAAGAAACACCUACAUCAGCAAAGACAGGCGGUGACCAAAAGGGGUUCCUGGAGCUGUUCUUUGAAGAGUUCUCAGCCUUACCCCCCACCUCUGGCCUUAGAGUCCGAGGAGGGAGGGCUUGGAGCUAGGGGGAGGGGAGCCCAUGACUUCACGGUGGGGGUUCCCGCAGAAGCUUCUGGGAGGCCCUGAUGCCCCUGUGCUGCCGUGGAAGGGCGGUGAGUGUGGAGAGGGGAGACCCCAGCAGACCUCCCGGCAAACACAGGCUAAAACCCUGCUCGGGAGCUCUGGCCCUUCCCAGCCAGCCUCCGUCCUUACUCCCCGCCACCCACCAAAAGGAUUUGAGCCUUAAAAUUAUCGUCACCAGUGCGCAGCAGACAAUACAGAGGGGACAUUAUGCGCUUAGAGAGAGGCCUCGUUGUUGGUGCCACCGGGAGACACAGCAGCGCUCUGUUCUGAGCAGGCUGGGGGCUGCUCACGUGCUCCACCCCAGACCCUCACACCCCGAAGCACAUCCUCACCCCAGGGCACACUCAGACUCGCCCGGGUACCCGGCAGGCACAUGCUGCUGCACCCAGGGGCCUUGGGAGAUACCCCGCUGCCAUCCCCCAGCCCACCCCCGUCCCGCUCACCGCCGCCUACACGCGACCUGCCCUAGAUCCUCACUGCCAG